UCCUCAAACACAGCCACUUCCCAGCACAUGUUCUGUCCAACCUCGACGUCCCAGCUGUGAGUCCCUGAGUUGAAGCCCUCAGAGCCCAGGACUGAGGAGCAUUCAUAAAUCCUCUCUGGAUUAUCAGGAAGCUGCUGUGUCUCCUCUCCUCGUCUCACACAGGUCAGAUCUUCAGACAGGAUUAGUUUUGAACCAGCAGCGUUUGGGUCCAGAAUCACAGGACUGUAGGAGACCAUGUCCUUCAUCUUGUUCCAGAUGUUGAAGCUCAGGUUGCCCAGGUGUUUAGCCACAUCUAUCAGAGCUCCUGAGGGCAGCUGUGGAUCCUCCAGCAGGGGGCGCUGCUGGACUCUUUCCACUGCAGCCUUGUAGUUUUUCAGGAAUGAGACGUCUGCAGCUCUCAGCUCCUCCUCUGUGGCUCUGACUGUGUCUGAAAGAACUGCUAUCUCUCUGCUCACAGCCUCCAUCUCUUCCUUCAUCCUCUGACUCUUCUGCUCCUCUUCCUCCCUCAGUGCAGAGAUUCUGACCUCCUCUUCCUCUUCUAGAAACUGGUGAAGCUUCUUAAACUGCUCCUUUAUCUUCCUCUCUGUGUCUGCAGUCUGGACCUUGAUGUGUUUUCCUGUUUCAUUCCAGACUUUUUCAAAGCGCUGCAGUUUCUCCUCUAAAGGUUUCAGGGAUUCCUGGAGCUGGUCCCUGAGAUCUGGAGCAGCUUCAUCGAUGGGUCUGAAUGUGUGGUUGGUGUGUUUUUUAGAGUCUCUGCAGACGAGACACGCUGGCUGCUGAUGAUCCAGACAGAACAGUCUGAGUUUCUCAGAGUGCAGACUGCAGAGAGCCUCAGAGUCUGAUGAAGCUCUCUGAUCUCUCUGCAGUAAGAAGGCCUCACACAGGUUCUGCAACACCAAGUUACAAGGAGGUUCAGAUCUUGAAGAUCUUCUCUUACAGACUGGACACUCCUGGCUCUGUUUCUGUGUCCACCAGCUCUGCAGACAGGCUUUACAGAAGCUGUGGCUACAUGACAGAAUCACAGGAUGUUUGAAGAUGUCAUGGCAGACAGAACAGCACAGAUCCUCCUCGAAACAAGAAGCCAUUUUCCUCUGAGUGAAGCAAAACUCACGACAGGCAGACAGCUGAGAAACAGAGUGACUGGGUGGAGGGCGGAGCUUUGUUGCUGCUGGUUUUGACGUUCAGCUGGAGCAGAGGUGAUCAAGUAUUUUAAAGACAUCGUGUCACUGUUAGGUGUUAAAGCAGUUAUCAGACACUAAAUGUAAAACAGUUUGGACGCGGUGUAAAAUGUUGAUCAAAACAAAUUUGAUGGUUUGGAAGUUUUAUCAAAAAUAAUGCAAAGACAAGAUUCCAAAAGUUAAUAAAUGAUUUAUUGUUUCAUUAAAAUAUAUGAUUGUUUUGAAUUUGAUGCCAGGAGCAUGUUUCAGACAAGUUUGGACAGGGUCAACAAAACACUGAACAAAGUUGUUUAAUGUUUAUAAAAACACACCUGGGUGAA